rnacentral:miRNA from 1 species
GAGCGAGCAAUGAAGUAAUAUU